GACGAACGCUGGCGGCGUGCCUAAUACAUGCAAGUCGAGCGCAGGAAACUGACGGAACUCUUCGGAGGGAAGGCAGUGGAAUGAGCGGCGGACGGGUGAGUAACACGUAAGGAACCUGCCUCAAGGAUUGGGAUAACUCCGAGAAAUCGGAGCUAAUACCGGAUAGUUCAUCGGACCGCAUGGUCCGUUGAUGAAAGGCGCUCCGGCGUCACCUUGAGAUGGCCUUGCGGUGCAUUAGCUAGUUGGUGGGGUAACGGCCCACCAAGGCGACGAUGCAUAGCCGACCUGGGAGGGUGAUCGGCCACACUGGGACUGAGACACGGCCCAGACUCCUACGGGAGGCAGCAGUAGGGAAUCUUCCACAAUGGACGAAAGUCUGAUGGAGCAACGCCGCGUGAGUGAUGAAGGUUUUCGGAUCGUAAAACUCUGUUGUAAGGGAAGAACACGUACGAGAGGGAAUGCUCGUACCUUGACGGUACCAUACGAGAAAGCCACGGCUAACUACGUGCCAGCCGCCGCGGUAA
rnacentral:rRNA from 1 species